rnacentral:rRNA from 1 species
GAUGAACGCUGGCGGCGUGCCUAAUACAUGCAAGUCGAGCGAACAGACGAGGAGCUUGCUCCUCUGACUUUAUCGGCGGACGGGUGAGUAACACGUGGAUAACCUACCUAUAAGACUGGGAUAACUUCGGGAAACCGGAGCUAAUACCGGAUAAUAUAUUGAACUGCAUGGUUCAAUAGUGAAAGACGGUUUUGCUGUCACUUAUAGAUGGAUCCGCGCCGCAUUAGCUAGUUGGUAAGGUAACGGCUUACCAAGGCAACGAUGCGUAGCCGACCUGAGAGGGUGAUCAGGCACACUGGAACUGAGACACGGUCCAGACUCCUACGGGAGGCAGCAGUAGGGAAUCUUCCGAAAUGGGCGAAAGCCUGACGGAGCAACGCAGCGUGAGUGAUGAAGGUCUUCGGAUCGUAAAACUCUGUUAUUAGGGAAGAACAAAUGUGUAAGUAACUAUGCACGUCUUGACGGUACCUAAUCAGAAAGCCACGGCUAACUACGUG